rnacentral:tRNA from 1 species
GUUGAGGUGACCGAGUUGGUCUAAGAGGUGCGAGAUUAAAAUUCUGGUUUGAGAGGUUGUGGGUUCAAGUCCCACUCUCAACA